UUAGAGUUUGAUCAUGGCUCAGAUUGAACGCUGGCGGCAUGCCUUACACAUGCAAGUCGAACGGUAACAGGUCUUCGGACGCUGACGAGUGGCGAACGGGUGAGUAAUACAUCGGAACGUGCCCAGUCGUGGGGGAUAACUACUCGAAAGAGUAGCUAAUACCGCAUACGAUCUGAGGAUGAAAGCGGGGGACCUUCGGGCCUCGCGCGAUUGGAGCGGCCGAUGGCAGAUUAGGUAGUUGGUGGGAUAAAAGCUUACCAAGCCGACGAUCUGUAGCUGGUCUGAGAGGACGACCAGCCACACUGGGACUGAGACACGGCCCAGACUCCUACGGGAGGCAGCAGUGGGGAAUUUUGGACAAUGGGCGAAAGCCUGAUCCAGCAAUGCCGCGUGCAGGAUGAAGGCCUUCGGGUUGUAAACUGCUUUUGUACGGAACGAAAAAGCUUCUCCUAAUACGAGAGGCCCAUGACGGUACCGUAAGAAUAAGCACCGGCUAACUACGUGCCAGCCGCCGCGGUAAUAC
rnacentral:rRNA from 1 species